GCCUACGGGGGGCAGCAGUGGGGGAUAUUGCACAAUGGGGGAAACCCUGAUGCAGCGACGCCGCGUGAGUGAAGAAGUAUUUCGGUACGUAAAGCUCUAUCAGCAGGGAAGAAAAAUGACGGUACCUGACUAAGAAGCCCCGGCUAACUACGUGCCAGCAGCCGCGGUAAUACGUAGGGGGCAAGCGUUAUCCGGAUUUACUGGGUGUAAAGGGAGCGUAGACGGCUGUGCAAGUCUGAAGUGAAAGCCCGUGGCUCAACCGCGGAACUGCUUUGGAAACUGUAUAGCUUGAGUACUGGAGAGGC
rnacentral:rRNA from 1 species